rnacentral:rRNA from 1 species
UACGUAGGGGGCUAGCGUUGCUCGGAAUCACUGGGCGUAAAGCGCACGUAGGCGGAUUGUUAAGUCAGGGGUGAAAUCCUGGAGCUCAACUCCAGAACUGCCUUUGAUACUGGCGAUCUUGAGUCCGGGAGAGGUGAGUGGAACUGCGAGUGUAGAGGUGAAAUUCGUAGAUAUUCGCAAGAACACCAGUGGCGAAGGCGGCUCACUGGCCCGGUACUGACGCUGAGGUGCGAAAGCGUGGGGAGCGAACAGG